rnacentral:rRNA from 1 species
AUGGUGCCGUUUAACUUCAAGCGUCGGGAGAACGGCGUGGACGACGUGACGAUCAAGGUGCUCUACUGCGGCAUGUGCCACACGGACCUCCACUUCGCCAAGAACCACUGGGGCAUCACGCAGUACCCGGUGGUGCCGGGCCACGAGAUCACCGGCGUGGUCACCAAGGUCGGCUCCGACGUCUCCUGGUUCAGGCCCGGCGACCGCGUCGGCGUGGGGUGCCUGGCGUGCUCGUGCCUGGACUGCGAGCAGUGCGACAGCUCGCAGGAGAACUACUGCGACAAGUUGGGGCUCACCUACAACGGCGUCUUCUGGGACGGCAGCAUCACAUACGGCGGCUACUCCAGCAUGUACGUGGCGCACAAGCGGUUCGUGGUGCGGGUCCCCGACAGCCUGCCGCUGGACGCGGCGGCGCCGCUGCUGUGCGCGGGGAUCACCGUGUACACCCCGAUGAAGAAGCACGGGAUGCUGCUGCAGGGCGCCGCUGGCAGGAGGCUCGGGGUGGUCGGGCUGGGCGGGCUGGGCCACAUCGCCGUCAAGUUCGGCAAGGCCUUCGGGCUGCACGUCACGGUGAUCAGCACGUCGCCGGCCAAGGAGCAGGAGGCCAGGGAGAACCUCAAGGCCGACGACUUCGUCAUCAGCACGGACGACAAGCAGAUGCAGGCUAUGGCGAGGAAGCUUGACUACGUGAUCGACACAGUCCCGGCGGCGCACUCGCUGGGACCAAUCCUGGAGCUGCUCAAGGUGGGCGGUGCGCUCGCCCUCGUCGCCGCUCCGGACGGGCCCCUCGAACUCCCUUCGUUCCCGCUUAUUUUCGGGAACAAGACCAUCAGUGGGAGCAUAAAGGGGGGAAUGAAUGACCAUCAGUGA